rnacentral:lncRNA from 1 species
GCUGGAUGGUUUCUUGCAGACAGACUGAUGGUUUUGCCUGUAGAACAGAGUGAGGAGUGAGGAGCCAUCAUCCUUUUGUAAGGAGUCCAGGCAAAAAGUUUGCUCAGUGAGACACCAAGGGAUGGGGCUGUGCUGUGUUUGUUGUUAAUGCUUGGUGCUGUGAUGGGAUUCAUGCUGUUUGUUCUCCUGAGAAGGCAGUGCUCAAGGGGAAAGUGAUCCCGGUGGGGAAGAGAGGAUCAGUCCAAGCUCUGAGCUCCUGCUGGCAGCAGGGGUGGUGUGCUCCAGUGCCAGGAACGCUGGAAGGGACCUGCUUACCACCAACCUCAUCUGCUCCAGCAUCUGUGGCCCUCUGACAUUUUUGCCAGAUGGUGAUCACCGAUGCUCAAAACCUCUCAAAUAAUCCUGUGAAAGGAAGAAAUAUAAAUA